GUUCUGGUGGCUCAACUGGGUAGACAGAUGACUGACGAGAAAUAGGUCAGGGGUUCGAGCCCCCGCUAGGGUC